GGCCUGAAUGUGAGCAUAGAUGUGGUGGUAGGUGCUGCAGGUUGCCCAUGCCUGAUCACAAGGGCCAGAUGCAUGGUGGCAACAGGGGUCAGGCUGUCUGCAUGUGUGUGUUUGUGUGUGUGUGCAUGCAGUAGUCCUGCAGAGAUCAGCCUUGAGUGUAUGUGGGGUCAAUUUCUGAGGUGAGGGGCUUUGGGGCUCUUUGCGAGCUCUAGGCUGAGCCUGACAGCCCCGUGCUUAAGACCAGCCCCAGGAUCUCCAGGCACAAAGUCAGUUCCCAUAGACCUAGGCUUCAGACUAGACCCUGUGAACCCAGGCUUUACACCAGCCCUAGCACCAGGUUAGCCUAGGUUGAUCCCAGUGGAAACAGGCUCCAGAAAACACAAGAUCCAGGCUUGUUCCAGCAGACGCAGGGUCAAGGCCCACUGUAGUAGACGCCAAUGGCGGGCUAGAUCCCAUGGACUGAGGCUUCAAGACUAUAUCUGCAGACAUAGGAUCCAGGCCAGGCCCUGUGGGCCCAGGACCCAGACCUGCACUAUGGACUCAGGGUCCAGGCCAGCCCCAGUGCCAAGCCAGUGCUUGUAGCUGGGAUUACAGGCAUGCACCACUACACCUGGCUAAUGUUGUAUUUUUAGUAGAGACGGGGUUUCUCCAUGUUGUUACAUAUGAGUAAAUUCUCUAAUUUAUCUGAACUAUUAAAUAACCCUAUGAUUCAGGUGAAGCAGGGAGGACCAAACAUGUCCAGAGAGGUUGUUGAAGAUCACAAGUAAGCCAAUAGCCGAUGGAACCCCAGCACUACUCCUAACUUCUAGUCCAAUUCUUUUUUUUAUGCUAAGCUGAUUUUCUUUUGGAAUUGAGUAUGACUUGUCUUCCCAAUGAGAUUAUGAACUCAUGCAGGGCAGGGAUCUUGUAUUACUGAUCUCUCUAUCCCCUAAAGCAGCAACCACAUUGUCUUGAAUGAGGCAAUGAUUGUGUGUGGUUAAUUGAUUUCUCAAAACGUAUAUUCUCUUUCUGCUCCUAACACUGGACACCGUUGAUCUGUAACAUUUAAGUGUCUGUGUUUAUUUCAAUAAGCCUUUGCUGAGUAUGACGAUAUGUUUUCAGCACACAGUGCUAGGCCCUGAUAUGUAAAUUAAAGUUAUAAGUAAGAUAGGGUCUCUGUACUCAGGGAGCUUAAGGUUUUGUUAGAGAUUUCUAAAAGCAAGAGAAAUAGUGGUUAAGGGGAAGGCCCUAGGACCCUGUCCUCUCUUUCUUACUUCAAGCAUCAGGUUGGAUUCAUUUCUGCAAGUUACUAUAACAGGACAACUUUUAAAUUUCUGUUAAAAUCAUUUUAUUUUUAGGAAUGAACUGCUUUAAAGCUAGGCUUUGUCCUUCCUAAUGGAUGGAGUAGGGGUAAGAUCAAGAGAAGACGUGGUCCAAACUCUGCAGUCUAGUUUCAUUAGGACAACUUGGUCAAAUUUACUAUGGAAAUAGGUUUAUUCUUCUGAGGGAAAAAUUCAACCCUGUUGUGGCUUUUCUAUCCAAAAGAGCUACCUAGAGUGAAUAUUUUGUGAGCAAUGGAUACAUUCUUCUCUAAGAGGUCCUCAAUGUCCUUUACAAAGCCAUUUCUCAGCAGUCUUCACUCUCUUUCUUACUCUGAUCAGGGUAAUUAACCAAGCCUUAACUGAACACUGAACCAGGCUUUGUUAUGGGAAAUACAGAGAUUGAAAAAUUUAGUCUCUUAAACCUCUUCAGAUGUAAGUGGAGAGAAAAGACUAAAGUGAAUAAAAACAGCUCCCACACAAAUCAGUUGUAUUCCAAGGGCAAAAUGAAUGGUAAUUGUAGUAAAUGUUACAGUUCAGAGAAGGGGAUGAUUUGUAUGGUCAAGAGAGGUUUCAAGACUAGGAUGGGUAAAAUUUAAAGGGGUGAAGAAGAAUGGGGUGGUGGCGGGGCAGAGAGACAAAGGCAGCCUAGGCAAAGGUAAAGAUAUACAGAAUGAGUAUAGUAGGACACUGUGGGGUUUUGGGUGAAAUAGAGACAAAGUAGUGAGAAAUGAAGCUGGAGCAGCCACAGACACACAGAAAUGGCUUGACUUCUAGGGUAAAGAGCUUGGACCUUAUCCAAGAAGCAAUGGGCUGCUAUUUGGUAUUUAUAGCCUCAGCUGAACUUUUACUUCUAUAUGUUCCAGCUGUCUACUGGGUUAUAAACUUUUUGAGCG
rnacentral:lncRNA from 1 species